rnacentral:rRNA from 1 species
AUUGAACGCUGGCGGCAGGCUUAACACAUGCAAGUCGAGCGGGGUGAUGGUGCUUGCACUAUCACUUAGCGGCGGACGGGUGAGUAAUGCUUAGGAAUCUGCCUAUUAGUGGGGGACAACAUCUCGAAAGGGAUGCUAAUACCGCAUACGUCCUACGGGAGAAAGCAGGGGAUCACUUGUGACCUUGCGCUAAUAGAUGAGCCUAGGUCGGAUUAGCUAGUUGGUGGGGUAAAGGCCUACCAAGGCGACGAUCUGUAGCGGGUUUGAGAGGAUGAUCCGCCACACCGGGACUGAGACACGGCCCAGACUCCUACGGGGGGCAGCAGUGGGGAAUAUUGGACAAUGGGGGGAACCCUGAUCCAGCCGUGCCGCGUGUGUGAAGAAGGCCUUAUGGUUGUAAAGCACUUUAAGCGAGGAGGAGGCUCUUUUGGUUAAUACCCAAGAUGAGUGGACGUUACUCGCAGAAUAAGCACCGGCUAACUCUGUGCCAGCAGCCGCGGUAA